CAAAGGCGAGGCGAGAAUCGGGAGACACUGAGCUUAACUCAGCCUCCUGUCCCCCUCCUCCAAAUCCUGAGCCUGUACCUUUUUCUUCAGCUGCCGCUGUGCUUGUCGGAUCUUCCUCUUGGCGAGCUUCUCGUCCUCGACGGAGGUGUCAACGAUUGCUCUUUUCUUGAUCUGAGAGGCGGCCUGAGCCAUGGUGCCGGGACGGAGCGGAGCGGUAUCCUUACAGAGCAGGAGCACGAGGAGGUCCUUUAGACGCGUGGAAACUGCUCCUCAGGCUGGUUUAAGAUCCUAACAGGUUCCACUACAGCAUGAAACUAGGUCGAAUAACGGUGAAGAAGCACGAGGAGGAAGAGUUUGGAGGACAACAAAACACAGUCUGAAAAGUGUUGGAAAAUCAUUUACAAUUUUUUGGAGAACCCUGGGCCUCUGGAGAACCCUGUGCCUUUGGAGAACCUGGGCCUCUGCCAAGGACAGUAAUGAAAAGAGGGAUGAAAGGACUGAUGCAGAGAUGGAGAAGAAAUUCUGUCUUACCCUUUUUCGUCUCAAUCAUGUGGCUAACCCUAACCCUAAACCAUGCCAGACAAAGGUAUUUGUUGUGGAUGAUUUAGAUGCAGGUGUACAUUUAGAUGUUGAAUGUCUUGUCCAAGACACAGUCUGAUGUCAUAAUCUAAAUAGCUCUGUGUGUAUUUUUGGUAGAGACCUCCUGUUUGAUAUAAUCAUGUAUUGAAAUGCAUAGAUUAUUGGGAAUGCGAUGUUUGAUCAGAGUUAGAGUACCCAGAAAAUACAUUCUUUCUCCAAUCUGACACUAACAAAACUUUCUCUACUGUCACUUGCAAAACUGUAACACUAACUAACAAAACCUUUGGUCAGUAACAUGAAAUAAUGAAAUACAAAAUCCUUAACUUACAUGCCUCCAACCUGUAACACAAUGGACAUUCCUACGACCUGACAACAGAUUUUCCUCCAAUACUCCCAUCACUCUUGGUCAACUCAGACAGAGCAGGACUUCAUCACAGCAUGGUAAUAAUAUCCAGCAGGGAGUUUGUUAACCAAGGCUUCCUGCCCACAUUGACAGCCUCCAGAACCUGCCUGUGCUCUAGCAGUGUCAGAGCUGCACCACCACAGCUACAAAUGAGCAGGUCCAAAUGAGAAGAAACUGAGAAUAGCAACUCUCUCAGGUGCUUCACAGAGAGCAGUAACUCGGGAUCAGCUGAUCGAUUGACUGACAAAAGCAUUUACUCUGUUUCUGUAUCACUGAUGCUGAUGAAUAGUGAACAGCCACUGGUUCUCUUCCAGCUUCUAAUAUCCUCUGACACCCGGUUGACAGUAUCUUACCUUUUCUAUCUGUCUUAACAAACUUAAACAGGCUCUAACGUUUCCAGCCUGUAACAGCAUCUAACAGCCCCUUGCAACCUUACAGCCCAUAACAGCAUACUCUACUAAAUUGCAAAAUGAAAUUGAUGCCAUUACUGAUAUAUAACCUGCCGACCUUCUGAUAGUUUAAAAUAAAUUGUCCAAGGCAUUUUUAUGUCUGUUUUUGAUUAUCUACCCUUAACCCUUUAGAUGCUGGCUUUCACUGUGCCCACCGAUUCAAAACUGGAGACAGUUUAAAGACUCACCAUUGCAUUUUGUAUCUAAAGUUGGGAUCUUUGUUUGAUGUCUGUUGUGCCUCUUCUU